AGGGUAUUAUAACUCUAUCUUUCGGUUCCCGCAGCGGAAGAUUUGUGAUCUCCUAUUUCCCAUUGAGCAGUCUCUCUUUUAACAAGAGAAAGCUGUAAUCAACAGGCCUUUUGCAAGAAUUCAUUUUUCUUUCUGCCACACAGGCGGUUGGAACUACAGAGCUUGCGCGUGCUUUUCCUGAGCAUCGCCUAUUAAGGUUAUAUCCCAUCCCCAACAGAGGGAGAAAAAAUUGUAUGAGAGACCUUCAACUAUGAAUAAUCAGCCCCAAAGACUAAGACAAUGAAGAAAAUGAACAUGAAAACGACAGUCAGACACCAUUUACACCACCAGAAUGGCUAACGCUAGAAGACGGACAAUAUCAAAUGCUGACGAGACUUUGGAGCCAACUGGGCUUCACACAAAACGCUGACGGGAGUGAAAUACAGUGAAAAUCACUUUGGAAAGAUGUUUGUCAGUUUCCAGUCAAGUUAAACAUACACCAACCCCAUGAACCAGCAACCCUAUUCCCAGGUAUAUGCCAAAGAGAAAUGAAUGCAUAGAGCCACAAAAAGAUUUGAUCAAGAAUGUUUAUAGCAGCUCUACUCCUAAUUUUAUUUUUGUCUUUCAUAAGCAUUUUAGGUAGCUUUUUUUCCUUUUAUUGCUUCUCUAAUUGUAACUAUAGAAGGGUUGUUGUUUUUUCCUGUAGACAGCAUUUUAGGAAGUUUUGCCUCAAUGAUCAUAAAUGUAGAGUUUUAAUUGUGUCUAUAUGUUUUGUCAGAUUUUGGUAUCAGUGUUUAACUAGCAGUGUACAAUGAAUUAGGUGAGUUUCCUUCUUUUUAUGUCCUCUAAAAUAUUUCAUGUAUCAUGGCAAUUACCAGUUAUCAGAAGACUUGAAAAAAACCCACACAUAAAAAAUGAUCUAGGUCUUUAUCCAUCUUAGAGAUGUUUCUUUUUGCAACAUUUUCAGUUAAUUCAAAGGUUAUUGGCCUAUUCCAUUUUUUCAAUCCUGACUCAAUUUGAGCAACAUAUGUUUUCCUACAAAACUGCCAGUUUUCAUACUUGUUAGUAUUAAAUAUAUUCCCUUGUCAAAUUUUAUAACUUUUAGAAUUAGAUCCCAUUUUAAUUCAUAACGCUGUGUUUUAUACAUGGUGAACUUGAUUGGCAGUUUCUCUGUUGUAUCUGUCUUGAUUAAUUUCUACUUUGAUCUUUAAUUAUUUUCUCUUGCUUCCCUUAGAUUAAUUUGGUUGUUAUCCAACUUUUUGAUGAGUGUUAGCUUCUUUACAUUUGUUCUGACUUAAUAGAACUGCACUGAAAGAAUGCAUUCUAGAUAUAUUUUUAGCUCCCGUUAUGUAAGAUCUAAUAUCCAGUGUUCUCAUGAUCAUUUUCAAUACUCUCAGCUUCAAAUUUUUUCCUAUGUAACCUAUGAAAAGAGGCAUAUUAGUCAGAAACCGGGUUUGGCUGCUGUGAGAGGCCCUAAUUGACAGUGGCUGAGAUAAGGUGAAUGUCCCUGCAGGCAGCCUAGGGCUAAGGGCAGCUUCGUCUUUUUCUAUCUUUCUAUAAGACCAGUUUCCACAGUAGGUAGUUUCUACAUCAUGAUUUCAGAUCAUUCCAGCAGUUCCCACAAAAGCGCAAGAAGAAUGGAAAUGAUUCGUAAAGUAUGAGUUGUACCUAUCACUGCCACCCACAUUAGAAUUUAGUCGCAGGCCCCAUCUAGAAAAAAGGGAUUGUGGGAAAUGUAGUCUUUCCCUGCCUGGCCAUAUGCCCAAUUAAAAAUUCUAUUACCACGUAAAAUGGAAAAACAAAUAAACAAGGACAAGUAUCUGCCACAGAGUUUUAAACAUAUUUCUAGUGAGUUGAUUUGUUUAUUUUUAGUUUCUAGUGUGUUUUCAGUGGAUCAAACAAUGGGAGUUGAAUUAUUUCUAGUUUUUAAAUGUAUUGAUAAUUUGUAUACCUUAAUACAUAACUAUAUAAUUCUUAAAUAUCCAUAUAUAUUGAAAAA